rnacentral:lncRNA from 1 species
GCCGAGUGGAGGCGCGCGCUGGGCAUCGAACCUGCGGCCGUGGCACGAGAGCGCGCCUUGGGCCUGGCUCCCGGAGUACUGGCCACGCGCACGCGCUUCCCGGGGCCGGUGACGCGAGCCGAGGUAGAGGCCAGGCUGGGGUCCUGGGCAGGUGAGGGCACGGCCGGAGGUGCGGCAUUGGGCGCGCUCUCCUUCCUAUGGCCGGCCGGUGGUGCAGCGGCAACAGGUGGGCUGGGUUACCGUGCUGCGCAUGGUGUACUGCUGCAAGCCUUGGAUGAGAUGCUGGCUGAUGCUGAGGCGGUGCUGGGACCCCCAGAGCACAAUCAGUAAGGCGCGCGGUGGGGCUUGGGGCAACUGGUGACUUGGUUCGUAGCCCCAUAGCCUCUGAGAUUAAGGAGUGAAGUUGUGUUACUCAAAUCCGGAGACUUGAAGGAGACUGGCAUCUCGUUGAAAUCCGAGACCUACAGUCACCCGAUUUCCGUGGCUCUGAAUGGGAGUAAGGUCUAUGCGCCAGAAGUGUGUCAGCCAGAUACCAAUGCAGUAAAGGGAAUUGAGGGCCUGGGACUCAUAGAAAUGGGAGCCUUUUGGCGUCCAGCUGACACCUGGUCCUCAAUCUCUAGAAGCCUUGAUUCCUGCCUUCCUAUGAGUGAACCUAUGACUAUGGACCGGGUGCUUCAGGGAGUUAGAAUCCUUGGAGCGCUGGGUCCCAAAGGGAAACGAGACGUAAGUUGUCCGAUGAAAGAACAGAUUUGCCGGAGCUGUGAGAGUCUUAGAAAAAGUCUGGUUCCUAAGAA